GACGAACGCUGGCGGCGUGCUUAACACAUGCAAGUCGAGCGGUAAGGCCCUUUCGGGGGUACACGAGCGGCGAACGGGUGAGUAACACGUGGGUGACCUGCCCUCAGCUCUGGGAUAAGCCUGGGAAACCGGGUCUAAUACUGGAUAUGACUCCAUGACGCAUGUUGUGGGGUGGAAAGCCUUGUGCGGCUGAGGAUGGGCCCGCGGCCUAUCAGCUUGUUGGUGGGGUGAUGGCCUACCAAGGCGACGACGGGUAGCCGGCCUGAGAGGGCGACCGGCCACACUGGGACUGAGACACGGCCCAGACUCCUACGGGAGGCAGC
rnacentral:rRNA from 1 species